CGUACACUCCUACGGGAGGCAGCAGUGAGGAAUAUUGGACAAUGGGUGGAAGCCUGAUCCAGCCAUCCCGCGUGCAGGAAGACGGCCCUAUGGGUUGUAAACUGCUUUUAUCUGGGGAUAAACCUACUUACGUGUAAGUAGCUGAAGGUACCAGAAGAAUAAGCACCGGCUAACUCCGUGCCAGCAGCCGCGGUAAUACGGAGGGUGCAAGCGUUAUCCGGAUUUAUUGGGUUUAAAGGGUCCGUAGGCGGACUGAUAAGUCAGUGGUGAAAUCCGACAGCUUAACUGUCGAACUGCCAUUGAUACUGUUAGUCUUGAGUAAGGUUGAAGUGGCUGGAAUAAGUAGUGUAGCGGUGAAAUGCAUAGAUAUUACUUAGAACACCAAUUGCGAAGGCAGGUCACUAAGUCUUAACUGACGCUGAUGGACGAAAGCGUGGGGAGCGAACAGGAUUAGAAACCCUAGUAGUCCCA
rnacentral:rRNA from 1 species